AAUAACUCAAUUCCUGAGUUUUUGUGUCCAACAUUUGACUGUCCGUUUUAUUUGAAAAAAUUAUGAAAAAAAAAUUAAAAAAAUAAGUCACACAUAAAGUAUUAUUUAUGUUUUAUCAUUUAACAACAAUGAAAAUACUAAUUAAAAAAAUCAUAUAAGACGAACAGUCAAACGUAGGACACGAAAACCCAGGAAUUGAGUCUUU
rnacentral:pre_miRNA from 1 species